AGCUGAAGAUGAAACUUAAUGGAAGGAUUUCUUUUUUUUGAUGAACAACAGGUAAACCAAUUUUGUAAUAAACAAACAUGUAACUUUUGUAGAAAAACAACAAAUAUAAACAAUUAUUUCCUAGCAUUUUGAGCUACACUUAAUAUAUAACCAAUAUACUGUAACAAUGUUGAAUGCAAUGCCUAUUGCAACAGACGGAGGGGAUCAUUGAUAGAAUUAAAAGAGUCACACAGAUUGACAUGACAGAAUUAAGUAAUACAUCCUACAUUUUGGAAGUACUUACUCCUGAGGUAACCCUAUUAAUCCUAAAAAAGACAGAGGGCUUCCACAGGUUCCAGGCAGAAACGGCUUUGCAAACAAAGGGACAUUUGGGAGCAUCCACAGAUUCUGAUCCUGAAUGGUUUUGAUGACAAAGGGAUGCCUCCUGUUGCUGCACCACACAUUGUGCUAGUGUCUGGACUUUUCUCUGUGCCCCCUUCCCUGUUAUCUUUAUCAAAUUUGUUGAAUAAUACAGUCUAAAAAGUCACUUUGCAGAACUAAUAUAGUUACUUAUUUUGUACAGCAUAACCUUUUGAGUUUACCUUAAUGCCACAAUGUGUAGCCCAUUUUUUACAAUCAUAUUUUUUUUACAUUUUUUUCUCUUAAGGUGUCUGAGCCCAUAUUACAAUAAAUAAAUACAAAUAAAAACUAAUGCUGUUUCAGUGUUGUUGAAUGACACAAACAUUUAAAGAAAUGUUUUAUAAAGACUGUAAAAAUCUUAUUAACUUACUAAACUAGUACUUAAAAAGAUCCUUAAACAAUAUUUCACAGACCACAAUGUGAUUUUACCUGUUCAAUUUACUCACCUUGGCUGUGACAUG